AGAUUGAACGCUGGCGGCAUGCUUUACACAUGCAAGUCGAACGGCAGCACGGGGGCAACCCUGGUGGCGAGUGGCGAACGGGUGAGUAAUGCAUCGGAACGUAUCUUUAAGUGGGGGAUAACGCAUCGAAAGAUGCGCUGAUACCGCAUAAUCUCUGAGGAGAAAAGCAGGGGAUCGCAAGACCUUGCGCUUUUGGAGCGGCCGAUGUCUGAUUAGCUAGUUGGUGGGUAAAGGCUUACCAAGGCUUCGAUCAGUAGCUGGUCUGAGAGGACGACCAGCCACACUGGGACUGAGACACGGCCAGACUCCUACGGGAGGCAGCGAGUGGGAAUUUGGACAAGUAGGGGGAAACCCUGACUCCAGCCAUGCCGCGUGAGUGAAGAGCCGUUCGGUUAGUAA
rnacentral:rRNA from 1 species